UACGAAGGGUGCAAGCGUUACUCGGAAUUACUGGGCGUAAAGCGUGCGUAGGUGGUUUGUUAAGUCUGAUGUGAAAGCCCUGGGCUCAACCUGGGAACUGCAUUGGAUACUGGCUUACUAGAGUGCGGUAGAGGGGUGUGGAAUUCCCGGUGUAGCAGUGAAAUGCGUAGAUAUCAGGAAGAACACCCGUGGCUAAGGCGGCUCUCUAGUACGGUACUGACGCUGAGACGCGAAAGCGUGGGGAGCGAACAGG
rnacentral:rRNA from 1 species